rnacentral:misc_RNA from 1 species
GUGUCACACCGCCGUUGCAGCUGCGCUAUCUUCUAACCCUUCCCUAGGGCUGCCCUGCACGCCUGCGGCCUCGUUAUCGUCUCCGUCCUUCACCCCCCCCCCCUCCUGCCUGCCUCUCUCCCCUUCUUCUUGAUGGACGCAGAGGUGGUCGCGUGGUGCGACUACAUCGUGCCUGAUGUGUUCGCUGAUGUCCUCACGGUAAUUGGAGACCGCACCGGCAUGAGCUGGGGCGUCAUGCCCGCUCACCAGUACUGGUUUCAGCCUCCCAAGCUGCACGUGGUGCUCAGUGCGGUGGCGCUGCUGUUCUGCACAGUGCUGCACCGCCAGUCUCGCGGCUUCCGGUCAGCAGCCAUCGCGCGGCUCGGCACAGCUGGAGUGGGCCGCUCACUGAAAUGCCCGAUCAACAGACUGAUUGCGUACACAUUGAUGGCGUGCUUGGCGGUGCAGGGCCUUACCAAGGCAUCGCGGCCGAAGCCCUUUGUGCAACUGGGGUGGCUUCUCAUGCCCUGCCACAUAUUCACUGGGAUGUGGAUCUACAUUUUCAUGAGCGAUAGGCCGCACCAAUACGGGAGCGGCUGCUACCUCGCCUCGCUGUUGGUGGACUGGGUCUGGAGCCCGCUUGGGGCACUGGUGCAGCCGGACUGGGACGAUCAUCAGUACCUCUGGGAGGGCUACAUCUUUUUCCUGCAUCAUGUUCUGCUGCUCCUGCUGCCGCUGUACUUCGUCGCCCGCUACGACACGCUCGGGCUCGACUGGGCGCACCUGUACCACCUCACUUGGGUCCCGACGUUCGUCAACUUCGCCUUUCUAGCCCCUUGCGGGCUUCUGCUUGGACUGAACGUGAACUACCAGCUCGCCCCGCCGCGUCUGAGCAGCAGCGCACCCGCCGUGCUGAAGACUGCGCUCUACCGCCCGGCACUUAUGCCGGUGUUUGUGGGGCUGUCUAUCGUUGCCAACAUCGCCGUCCGCAUGCUCGGCAAGGUCAUCGGCAAACUCUUCACCUCGGCUCGGAAACUCACGAAGCUUGAGUAAGAUGGGCGAACGCCGCCGAGUAACCUCUAUCGUUGGAGGAGGUGGGCAGCAAACGUUGCCGUUCGACCUGAUGCUGCUGCUGCUGCUCGCCUCACCGCGGUGGUGACCAGGGGGCGCGGUGCGCAGGCACGUCGGCACACCCGUUCUCAGGACACACACGUACAUUUGUUCCGCUCUCCGCAAACUCCAGUUUUACCAGAGCACGCGCACAUGGUCGAUGCGCUCCCCUUUUCCUUCGCCUAACCCUCCCCCACCCCUCCUCGAACAACAUUUCGAUCCGCUGCGGUCACGAUCACACAUAAGCGAACCGAAAACGAAUAAAACUAGCAGCACCGAAGAGAGAGAGAGAGCAGCAGCAGCGGGGGCAGAUGCGCACACAUAUGCGUGGAUGACCGGCUGCGUGUUGGUGCCGGGCGACAUUGGGAAGAGGGUGAGAACGAGAAAGCACUGGCAAGACGCCUCCCCAUCUCUCCCCCACCCCCACGUCACCCUCUCCCUCUGAGCACAAGCGUAGGUAGGCACAUUGUUGUCCAUCACACCCGUAGGGCCUGCCUCCCACCCUCCUCCAUCAUGCUCAGAGCCCAUCAUCUUCCACUUCGGUUUCAUCCACCACCGACGUCCUCCCUUCUCUCUACCGGCCACCUGCUCCGCCCCGCCCCCCCCCCACUCUCCUCAUCGACCAACGGUGCGCGGCUUCUUGAUUCGCCGUACUCGGCAG